rnacentral:rRNA from 1 species
AGAGUUUGAUCCUGGCUCAGGAUGAACGCUAGCGACAGGCUUAACACAUGCAAGUCGAGGGGCAGCAUAGAAGUAGCAAUACUUUGGUGGCGACCGGCGCACGGGUGAGUAACGCGUAUGCAACCUACCUAUCAGAGGGGAAUAACCCGGCGAAAGUCGGACUAAUACCGCAUAAAACAGGGGCACCGCAUGGUGAUAUUUGUUAAAGAAAUUCGCUGAUAGAUGGGCAUGCGUUCCAUUAGGUAGUUGGUGAGGUAACGGCUCACCAAGCCGACGAUGGAUAGGGGAACUGAGAGGUUGGUCCCCCACACUGGUACUGAGACACGGACCAGACUCCUACGGGAGGCAGCAGUGAGGAAUAUUGGUCAAUGGGCGGGAGCCUGAACCAGCCAAGUCGCGUGAAGGAAGAAGGAUCUAUGGUUCGUAAACUUCUUUUGCAGGGGAAUAAAGUGCAGGACGUGUCCUGUUUUGUAUGUACCCUGAGAAUAAGGAUCGGCUAACUCCGUGCCAGCAGCCGCGGUAAUACGGAGGAUCCGAGCGUUAUCCGGAUUUAUUGGGUUUAAAGGGUGCGUAGGUGGUUUGAUAAGUCAGCGGUGAAAGUUUGCAGCUUAACUGUAAAAAUGCCGUUGAAACUGUCGGACUUGAGUGUAAAUGAGGUAGGCGGAAUGCGUGGUGUAGCGGUGAAAUGCAUAGAUAUCACGCAGAACUCCGAUUGCGAAGGCAGCUUACUAAGCUACAACUGACACUGAAGCACGAAAGCGUGGGGAUCAAACAGGAUUAGAUACCCUGGUAGUCCACGCAGUAAACGAUGAUUACUAGCUGUUUGCGAUACACAGUAAGCGGCACAGCGAAAGCGUUAAGUAAUCCACCUGGGGAGUACGCCGGCAACGGUGAAACUCAAAGGAAUUGACGGGGGCCCGCACAAGCGGAGGAACAUGUGGUUUAAUUCGAUGAUACGCGAGGAACCUUACCCGGGCUUGAAUUGCAGAGGAAC